UACAGAGACUGCAAGCGUUGUUCGGAUUCAUUGGGCGUAAAGGGUGCGUAGGUGGCGCGCUAAGUCGGGUGUGAAAUCUCGGGGCUUAACUCCGAAACUGCAUUGGAUACUAUUCGGCUGGAGGGUUGGAGGGGGGACUGGAAUUCUCGGUGUAGCAGUGAAAUGCGUAGAUAUCGAGAGGAACACCAGUGGCGAAGGCGAGUCCCUGGACAACUCCUGACACUAAGGCACGAAAGCUAGGGGAGCAAACAGG
rnacentral:rRNA from 1 species